GGACCAAGGAGUCUAGCAUGUGCGCGAGUCAUUGGGAUAUUUACGAAACCUAAAGGCGUAAUGAAAGUGAAGGUCCGCCUAGCGCGGACCAAGGGAGGAUGACCGGCCGUUAGUGGCCGUUCCGCACUCCCUGGGCGUCUCGUUCUCAUUGCGAGAAGAGGCGCACCAAGAGCGUACACGCUGGGACCCGAAAGAUGGUGAACUAUGCCUGGUCAGGACGAAGUCAGGGGAAACCCUGAUGGAGGUCCGUAGCGAUUCUGACGUGCAAAUCGAUCGUCGGAACUGGGUAUAGGGGCGAAAGACUAAUCGAACCAUCUAGUAGCUGGUUCCCUCCGAAGUUUCCCUCAGGAUAGCUGGCGCUCGCUUUUCGCGAGUCUCAUUCGGUAAAGCGAAUGAUUAGAGGCAUUGGGGUCGAAACGGCCUCAACCUAUUCUCAAACUUUAAAUGGGUGAGAUCUCCGGCUUGCUUGAACUGUGAAGCCGCGAGAUAUCGGAUCAGAGUGCCAAGUGGGCCACUUUUGGUAAGCAGAACUGGCGCUGUGGGAUGAACCAAACGCUGAGUUAAAGCGCCUAAAUCGACGCUUAUGGGAUACCAUGAAAGGCGUUGGUAACUUAAGACAGCAGGACGGUGGCCAUGGAAGUCGGA
rnacentral:rRNA from 1 species